rnacentral:rRNA from 1 species
UACGUAGGGUGCAAGCGUUAAUCGGAAUUACUGGGCGUAAAGCGUGCGCAGGCGGCUUUGCAAGACAGAUGUGAAAUCCCCGGGCUUAACCUGGGAACUGCAUUUGUGACUGCAUGGCUGGAGUGCGGCAGAGGGGGAUGGAAUUCCGCGUGUAGCAGUGAAAUCGUAGAUACUGCGGAGGAACACCGAUGGCGAAGGCAAUCCCCUGGGCCGCACUG